rnacentral:rRNA from 1 species
AGUGAACGCUGGCGGUAGGCCUAACACAUGCAAGUCGAACGGCAGCACAGUAAGAGCUUGCUCUUACGGGUGGCGAGUGGCGGACGGGUGAGGAAUACAUCGGAAUCUACUUUUUCGUGGGGGAUAACGUAGGGAAACUUACGCUAAUACCGCAUACGCCCUACGGGUGAAAGCAGUGGAUCUUCGGACCUUGCGCGAUUGAAUGAGCCGAUGUCGGAUUAGCUAGUUGGCGGGGUAAAGGCCCACCAGGGCGACGAUCCGUAGCUGGUCUGAGAGGAUGAUCAGCCACACUGGAACUGAGACACGGUCCAGACUCCUACGGGAGGCAGCAGUGGGGAAUAUUGGACAAUGGGCGCAAGCAUGAUCCAGCCAUACCGCGUGGGUGAAGAAGGCCUUCGGGUUGUAAAGCCCUUUUGUUGGGAAAGAAAAGCAGCAGGUUAAUACCCCGCUGUUCUGACGGUACCCAAAGAAUAAGCACCGGCUAACUUCGUG